rnacentral:rRNA from 1 species
UACGGAGGGAGCUAGCGUUAUUCGGAAUUACUGGGCGUAAAGCGCACGUAGGCGGAUUGCUAAGUCAGGGGUGAAAUCCUGGAGCUCAACUCCAGAACUGCCUUUGAUACUGGCGACCUUGAGUCCGGGAGAGGUGAGUGGAACUGCGAGUGUAGAGGUGAAAUUCGUAGAUAUUCGCAAGAACACCAGUGGCGAAGGCGGCUCACUGGCCCGGUACUGACGCUGAGGUGCGAAAGCGUGGGGAGCAAACAGG